UCCCAUUACAGCCUCUAAUGCUCUGUUUCGAUUUUUUGGCUUAGAUCUUUCACUUCUUCACAUCUACAAUCAGUGUAAUCCCACCCGCCCUAAAAUGACCUGCUCAUGAUUUCCAAAACUCUACCGUCACGUGCAUUUCGGCAAAAACAAGAGAAGUUUAGCGUAUAGGUGCUCCGGCUGUGAACGAUGAAGUAACUUGUGAUGUUGCAGAAAUGCGUGAAUGUUAAUGCGAUGGUUCAUACUGAUGUCACAUGGUGAAUUGGAUGUGCAUCGGAGUCAGGAUCCCCAAGUGGCCCGAAUCUGGACAAACACCGCUCUGUGCCCAUAAAACUACAAGGAGGACAAGCAAAAGAAGCACUUCUGCCAAGGUGCUCAUGUGAAAUGAAUGUUUAUCAGCAAGACUGUUUAAGCGAUGGUGACCAGUGAUUUCUACAGGAGAUGCACUGUUGGAUGCGAGCUUGGCCUGAUGCCCGGACGCCCUUUACCACCCUGUAUGUGUGAUCGCAUUAGGAAACCGAAAACAAGACACUGAAAGCCCAUCAUGCAGUGCUCGCAGCAGCCAUCUAAGCUUGAUAAAGAAAUGCCGCCUGCUCGGGGUACCUGGUAAUGGGCAGUAAAGGCUGACAGGUCAGACAUCAUGUGAUGGCCUAUUAUUAAAUGUUUGCGUCAUGAAGAACUGUGAAUUACUCUGUUGCAGUGGGUGGCUUUUUUAUGCUUUAGGUCCAUUGUAGCCCUUAAAGUCUGGACUGUUAAAAGAGCAUUUUGUCUUGAUAAGAGUGGGUUUUUUGUUCAAUUUAAUUUCGGUUCAAAGAAAAAAAAAAACACUGUGCUUUUGCCCUAUUUGUAGCUUGACGUAUACUGGCUAUUAUGAACUGUCAUUGCACGGAAAAGAACAGUGCAGAGAUCCUAAUGCCAUUUACACCAAGGACGAUAACUAUAAAGAUAAUGUUUUGAAGAAACUGUAUGUAGUUUUGUAUAGGCUAUUUUUCCAACUUUUAUUGCAGUUUAGUGAGUGGAAUUCACUGUCGUUAAUAUAUAACUGUCAUAAUUAUAGUGCGUAGCUGUACACAAGCAUUUGUUGCUGCUGUGAAGUGAUGGAAGCUUUUCGAAGUUCUGAAUCAAUUGAGUCAAUUGUUUCGUAAAACGUUUCGAAGCAUUCAAAACACCACAGGUCAAGAACAAACAAGGUCAAGAAGCAAUUAUUAUUGUUAUUUUUGUAUUAUAU